CCUACGGGAGGCAGCAGUGAGGAAUAUUGGUCAAUGGAGGCAACUCUGAACCAGCCAUGCCGCGUGAAGGAUGAAGGCGCUACGCGUUGUAAACUUCUUUUGUACGGGAAGAAACCUCUCUACGUGUAGGGAGCUGACGGUACCGUAAGAAUAAGCAUCGGCUAACUCCGUGCCAGCAGCCGCGGUAAUACGGAGGAUGCAAGCGUUAUCCGGAUUUAUUAGGUUUAAAGGGUGCGCAGGCGGAAAUGUAAGUCAGUGGUGAAAGCCUACAGCUUAACUGUAGAACUGCCAUUGAUACUGCUUUUCUUGAGUAUAGUUGAAGUAGGCGGAAUGUGUAGUGUAGCGGUGAAAUGCAUAGAUAUUACACAGAACACCGAUUGCGAAGGCAGCUUACUAAACUAUUACUGACGCUCAUGCACGAAAGCGUGGGGAGCGAACAGGAUUAGAUACCCUGGUAGUCCACGCCGUAAACGAUGAACACUAGUUGUGUGCGAUACACUGUACGCGACUGAGCGAAAGCAUUAAGUGUUCCACCUGGGGAGUACGUAGGCAACUAUGAAACUCAAAGGAAUUGACGG
rnacentral:rRNA from 1 species